rnacentral:rRNA from 1 species
CUUAAAGGAAUUGACGGGACCCGCACAAGCGGUGGAUGAUGUGGAUUAAUUCGAUGCAACGCGAAAACCUUACCUACCCUUGACAUGUCCGGAAUCCCGAAGAGAUUUGGGAGUGCUCGCAAGAGAGCCGGAACACAGGUGCUGCAUGGCUGUCGUCAGCUCGUGUCGUGAGAUGUUGGGUUAAGUCCCGCAACGAGCGCAACCCUUGUCAUUAGUUGCCAUCAUUUGGUUGGGCACUCUAAUGAGACUGCCGGUGACAAACCGGAGGAAGGUGGGGAUGACGUCAAGUCCUCAUGGCCCUUAUGGGUAGGGCUUCACACGUCAUACAAUGGUCGGUACAGAGGGUUGCCAACCCGCGAGGGGGAGCCAAUCCCAUAAAGCCAGUCGUAGUCCGGAUCGUAGUCUGCAACUCGACUACGUGAAGCCGGAAUCGCUAGUAAUCGUGGAUCAGAAUGUCACGGUGAAUACGUUCCCGGGUCUU